AUGGCUGACCACCACAGAGACAGGGGCGUCCUAGGCGGCGGCGGCGCCUUCGGCGACCGCAGUGGCCACGGAGGCUACGGCAGCGACCACCACGAGCAGCACCAGCAGAAGCAGCCGGCGAUGAUGUGCGCGCUGAAGGCCGCGACGGCGGCCACGGCCGCCGGGUCGCUGCUGGUGCUGUCCGGGCUGAUCCUGGCGGGCACCGUCAUCGCGCUCACCGUGGCCACACCCGUGCUGGUCAUCUUCAGCCCGGUGCUGGUGCCGGCGGCCAUCGCGCUGGCGCUCAUGUCCGCCGGGUUCGUGACGUCCGGCGGGCUGGGCGUGGCGGCGCUGUCCGUGUUCUCGUGGAUGUACAAGUACCUCACCGGCAAGCACCCGCCGGGCGCCGACCAGCUGGACCACGCCAAGGCGCGGCUCGCGUCCAAGGCCCGCGACAUCAAGGACGCCGCGCAGACCCGCAUCGACCAGGCGCAGGGGGCUUGA
rnacentral:rRNA from 1 species